CCUACGGGGGGCAGCAGUGAGGAAUAUUGGUCAAUGGGCGCGAGCCUGAACCAGCCAAGUAGCGUGAAGGAUGACUGCCCUACGGGUUGUAAACUUCUUUUAUAAAGGAAUAAAGUGAGGCACGUGUGCCUUUUUGUCUGUACUUUAUGAAUAAGGAUCGGCUAACUCCGUGCCAGCCUCCGCGGUAAUACGGAGGUUCCGAGCGUUAUCCGGAUUUAUUGGGUUUAAGGGGAGCGUAGAUGGGUUGUUAAGUCAGUUGUGAAAGUUUGCGGCUCAACCGUAAAAUGGCAAUGGAGACUGGCAGCCUUGAGUACAGUUGAGGUAGGCGGAAUUCGUGGUGUAGCGGUGAAAUGCUUAGAGAUCACGAAGAACGCCGAUUGCGAAGGCAGCUUACGAAACUGCCACUGACAUUGAUGCUCGAAAGUGUGGGUAUCAAACAGGAUUAGAUACCCUUGUAGUC
rnacentral:rRNA from 1 species